UACGAAGGGGGCUAGCGUUGUUCGGAUUUACUGGGCGUAAAGCGCACGUAGGCGGAUCGUUAAGUCGGGGGUGAAAUCCUGGAGCUCAACUCCAGAACUGCCUUCGAUACUGGCGAUCUUGAGUCCGGAAGAGGUGAGUGGAACUCCUAGUGUAGAGGUGGAAUUCGUAGAUAUUCGGAAGAACACCAGUGGCGAAGGCGACUUACUGGACACAUAUUGACGCUGAGGUGCGAAAGCGUGGGGAGCAAACAGG
rnacentral:rRNA from 1 species